CCGAUGGGAUCUGUGCCAUGAUUGUUUAUGGGUGAAUACGGGGGAGUUAAAAAUUCGGUGGUGUAUAGUGUACGGUCGAGCCAGACCUGAUCUGUGGGCCAGGACAACGGCCUCCGUCCGGUGUGCGUGCCUGUGAUUCUGACGGCGGCCAUCGCCUGAGCCGUGGAUCGGAUCAUCUUGCUGGAAGCUGGUCCGUCGCCUAGUAAAUUCACUUUCCCGCAUGAUUGGUGGAGAGGUAGGCAUGGUCCGUCCAGCUGUGCUAUUCCUCAUCGGUUGCGAAGAGCGGUUGAGGUGCUGGUCCUGGCGACAAGUCCAUGGCAAGUAGGCGACUCCAUUAUCGGCGAUGGAGUUUCUAAGAAGAUUCCCCUAUGUCGAGGAAAUUGACGAGAGCGCAACCCAGAUGGAUCUGGCAACGCACGCGUGUGGGGUUCACUCAGGUUCUGGACCUAGGCCGACGCACAGAUCUGCGAGGGGGAGAGGAGAAGUGAGCACAGACGGGAAGCAUCGCCACAAUCAUCCGAGCUUUCCACCGGCAAGAUGAACACACAAACCCCUGGUUAGAGUAAGAGGUACGUUUCAGAGAUUUCUGUUAAUGAUGGAAAAAUCAUAGAAUGCCUGAAUGGAAGUUGUGAGCUCUUCAUUGAACGCACCUGUGGGAUUGUGCUUAGGAUUCGUAACCAGUAGCAGUUGUUUUGUUUCUGAAGAAUUAUUUUUUGAUGCUGCCGAACUUGUUCAAACUAGUCAUUGUCGCUAUGAGCUUGUAUGGAAAUCGUAUGAAUAAUCACUUACAAAGGGGAAAACACAUUAGAGUGAUAAUAUGGGACCACCGACAAAGGAAAAACACAAAUAAGAGUAUGGAACAGUAAAAAGGAAUUGCAAAAACCAGUAGCUUAUUAUGUGCCGAAGACGAGGGCAUUGGCAAUUAAUUACUCCUUCCGUCCAAUAACAUAAGAGCGUUCUUGACACUAAUUACGGGAUGGAGGGGGUACUAGUUUUUGCACCCUCUAAUACAUGUCUUGGCAAUUAGUACUGGUUUUUGCACCUUCUAGUACAUCUUCACCACGGCUUGGUUGCUGAUGCAGAUAGUAGAUUCAGAAGUGUCUCUGACCAAUUUAAUUGGGGACAUUGGGGUGCUUAGAAAAUUUGUUUAGUACUAGAUGCAUAACGAAAAUAAGGAAUUGUGUUAAGGAAAAUAAUGGAUGCACUUCGCAUACCGCGUCCAGGCGGAUAAUGAGGGUAGGAUUAAGAACUUAAUGUGGGCAAAUGGUGGCCGUCGACUUCAAGUAACUUUUUUCGGUGAUGUUGUGACAAAACGUACGUACAAAUCUGUACGACAUGGCUAUUUGUGGGAGUAAAUAACGAUUUUCAGAGCGUCAAGUGGGUCUUCUCUGAAUUUCUUCGGAUGGCGGGAGAGGUGUCGUGCCUCAAACAGUCCUAACCGAUCAGAAUCGUGCUAUGGAGCUUGUAAUUCAGAGUAUAAUGCCCGACACCUCGCAUUGUGGUGUAAGUGGCAUGUGAUGAAGAAAGCCAAGGAGACCAUUGAGGGCAGAAUUCCUUAAGGCGGUGAAUUUAGGGCAGAAUUCCUUAAGGUGGUGAAGCACGUGCUGACCAUUGAUGAGUUUGAGGAUGGUUGACGCCUUUUGCUCGAUAAAUACAAGCUAAACUCGUGUCCCUACGUUACACAGUUGUAGGAGAUAAGGCACAAGUGGGUAAAGCUAUACUUCAAAGGGGUGUUCUUGCGAAGAUGACAAGUACCCUGUAUGCUUCUUUUUGCUCGCCAUGUUGAUGGAUUGAGCAGAUUGUGACGGACGACUUUCACAUGAUUAUGAACCUAGCUUUUAUUGAUGAUCAAUUCUGUUCUAUUGCAAAAUUGCAAGAGCAGCCCAUCUACAAGCGUGGAGUCCUGGGAGUGUUAGUGUGAGGGAAGGUGGCUCGAUGGAUCUUGUGCUGAGCUUAGGCAUGGACACUGUGCUCACGGGCCGGAGGGAGAGCGGACGGAUGAUGCAGCAAGGUGAUUAUACUGGUGGUCUGUUAGCUGUGUUAAACAUUUUUUUAUGAAUGGAUGGCGUCGACGGCGUCGGUUGGUACGG